GUUUGUUUAAAUUAAAAAUGAUCAUAUUUUUUUAUAGUUAAUUGUGCCAGGUUAUUGUGUAUCUGGAAGGACUGGUCAUAAAGUUAUUAGCUGUGCCAAGAAAAUUGAAUUUGAAAAUCACCAGAUUGUAGAAGUUAAAAUGUCUGUGCAGUAUAUGUUGUUCAGUGCGCAUGCUGAUGCUAUCUAAAGAACCAUCUAAAGUCUUGCUGGUGCACGGAAUAGCUUCAAAAAUGGAGUUUUUGACAAAGAAAAUCACCCCAGAACUUGAUUGAAAAAAGAAGUGAUUGGAUAAAUGUAGGAGAUCUCCAAGGUGCUAUCCAUUUUAAAAUAGGUAAAUAAGAAUUUAAUGAAUAAGUGUUAUGUUAUCUAAAUUUUGUAUUUAUGAUGUCCAUAAAUUUAUGUGUAAUGUUUACGUUUAUAAUUCAAAAGAAAUAUUUGAUAAGUAUUUUAUUUGGCACACGUUAAAGUUAACACUAUCAAAAUUUUAUUCAGCUAUGCACUGCUUCUCAGUUUGAAUGAACUUAUCACAAAUUUAAAAAAAAAAGAAAGAAGAAAACUGUUAUUUACUUUGCUUUGUAGCAUACUUGUAGUUCUAUUUUCUUCUAUUCGCAAAUUUUAUGAAUAUAUAGUCAAACCUCGAAGGGAGACAGAAAAUUUGUUCAUGCUGAAAGUAGUUUACAUUAUCAAUUCAGAAAUUAUUUUUAAGAAAAUCAUACAAUACAUGUUUUCUAACAUCUGUAUCUGUUAUUGAUUUGCGUUUUCUGAUCUUAAAUCUCUACUAUGAAUUAUAAAUUUAUCAAAUAGUGAAAUAGCCAAAUAUUUGGCCAAAGAAAAUUGAACGAAUAGCAGCAUUUUUUUUUUAAAAAAAAAGUUGAAAAUCAUGAAUAAAUAAUUUUUGUAUUGGAAUAAGUUUAAUCAAGCUUGAAAAAUAAUCAAAACUUAGCUGUCUUAUUGGUAUGGGGUAAAGGGGAAAAAGCUUUAAAACAAAUGUUUAAGGUAAUAAAUAUAAUUGGAUACU